UUGCUCUUCCACUCUCUCUCUCUCUCUCUCUCUUACACACUCACUCUCUGUCUAUUGCUUUCUUUCUCUCUCUCUUACACACUCACUCUCUGUCUCACUCUGUCUAUUGCUCUCUUUCUCUCGCUCUCUCUCUUACACACUCACUCUCUGUCUCACUCUGUCUAUUGCUCUCUUUCUCUCGCUCUCUCUCUUACACACUCACUCUCUGUCUCACUCCGUCUAUUGCUCUCUCUCUCUCUCUUACACACUCACUCUGUCUCACUCCGUCUAUUGCUCUCUCUCUCUCUCUCUCUCUCUCUUACACACUCACUCUCUGUCUCACUCUGUCUAUUGCUCUUCCACUCUCUCUCUCUCUCUCUUACACACUCACUCUCUGUCUCACUCCAUCUAUUGCUCUCUCUCUAUCUCUCUCUUGCACACUCACUCUCUGUCUCACUCUGUCUAUUGCUCUCUCUCUCUCUCUUACACACUCACUCUCUGUCUCACUCUGUCUAUUGCUCUCUUUCUCUCGCUCUUUCUCUUACACACUCACUCUCUGUCUCACUCUGUCUAUUGCUCUCUUUCUCUCGCUCUUUCUCUUACACACUCACUCUCUGUCUCACUCUGUCUAUUGCUCUCUUUCUCUCGCUCUCUCUCUUACACACUCACUCUCUGUCUCACUCUGUCUAUUGCUCUCUUUCUCUCGCUCUUUCUCUUACACACUCACUCUCUGUCUCACUCUGUCUAUUGCUCUCUUUCUCUCGCUCUCUCUCUUACACACUCACUCUCUGUCUCACUCCGUCUAUUGCUCUCUCUCUCUCUCUUACACACUCACUCUGUCUCACUCCGUCUAUUGCUCUCUCUCUCUCUCUCUCUCUCUCACACACACUCACUCUCUGCCUCACUCCGUCUAUUGCUCUUUCUCUCUCUCUCUCUCUCUUACACACUCACUCUCUGCCUCACUCCGUCUAUUGCUCUUUCUCUCUCUCUCUAACACACUAACUCUCUGUCUCACUCUGUCUAUUGAUCUCUUUCUCUCUCUCUCUCUCCCCCACCCCGCUUCAAUUCAACAGACAUUACAUUAUUUGGGAGUGAUAAUAAUAUGUUUAAUCCUCAAGAAAAAAAAGGUUGUGAAAGGAAACUAAUUAGCCUUUGGUUUUCGCAGAAAACUUCUGUCCUGUCUGUGUCUGUGUCUGUGUCUGUGUCUGUGUCUGUGUCUGUGUCUGUGUGUAUGUGUGUGUGUGUGAGAGAGUGUGUGUGUGUGUGUGUGCGUGUGUGUUUGUGUCAGCUCUAUGUUGGGUAUCGUCCUCUGCACUGUAUCACACACACACAACCCCUCACUCCACAUAAGGGUGCGUACACCAGUCACACACACUAUGUUGACUGCAGACAUGGCCAAGCGGUACUACAAUGCGAAUGAAAGAAAAAUAAUUUUGACAAUCGGACAGAUCACAUAAUGACCUCCACACAGCUAAAUGCAUCGGAGAACUGUCUGACAACCAAUGCUGUAAUGAGUCGCCUGAAAUG
rnacentral:lncRNA from 1 species